GAACGCUGGCGGCGUGCUUAACACAUGCAAGUCGAACGGAACUUAUUGGAUCAAGGCUUCGGCCAAGUGAAUGUAAGUUAGUGGCGGACGGGUGAGUAACGCGUGAGGAACCUGCCUUCAGAGGGGACGAACAGUUGGAAACGACUGCUAAUACCGCAUAACGCGUAGAGGUCGCAUGGCCUUUACGCCAAAGAUUUAUCGCUGAAAGAUGGCCUCGCGUCUGAUUAGCUAGUUGGUGAGGUAACGGCCCACCAAGGCGACGAUCAGUAGCCGGCCUGAGAGGGUGACCGGCCACAUUGGGACUGAGACACGGCCCAAACUCCUACGGGAGGCAGCAGUGGGGAAUAUUGGUCAAUGGCCGGGAGGCUGAACCAGCCAAGUAGCGUGAAGGAUGAAGGUUCUAUGGAUUGUAAACUUCUUUUAUACGGGAAUAACACCAUCUACGUGUAGAUGCCUGCAUGUACCGUAUGAAUAAGCAUCGGCUAACUACGUG
rnacentral:rRNA from 1 species